UCAUGGAAGGAACUUGAGGGAGAUGCCCAGGUAGAGGCAUAUUCGAGGUACUCAGUAUUUUACCCUGUCUCUCAGGGCAACAGGGGAAGACAAGAACAUUCAACUUCUGUCUCAGGACUUUGCAGACUUCUACCUAUUCAAUACCCCAUUCAAAUGCAUCAAAGCUUCACAGAGUACUGGAUCAGGCUUCUAGCUCCCCUGCGAAUGAGAUCUGUUUUGUAAACAAUUGGUAUGCACUGUUUUGACAGCUCAGACAAGAUCUUGGAGAUUCGGAACAAAAAAGGAAUAGAAAAUUAUUACUAAAAUCUACAUGGCUCAAAAGAUGGGAGGAGCAUUUGAGUCUUUGCCGUUUGGGAAGAUCCUGAGAAGACCCAAACUCUGUCAAUCCCCCCAGUUAAGCACUCAGAGACAAGCUGUUCCCCUACCCCUUUCUGGAGACACUCGCUUAUCAUGCCUUUAGUGGAUGAUGCCAAUGCCUCCUGAUGCUUAUAAUCCAGAGACUGUUCGGGGAUGCAUCCUCCCAACAAAGAAUUGCGGAAGCCAGAACAUCUUUGGAAAAAGAAGUCCGAGGCUGCUUCCUCUGCUUUGUACUAAGUGGAGAACUCUGAACAGCCUCUAGCCACUGAAUUCCAACCUGGCCCCACAGCACUAAGAGAGACAGACCUACCAUCUCUGUGAUGCAAGGCACACUCGCUGUCCUGGAGUAUUCCGGUCUGUCACCUUUGACAGAAGCUAAACGUGCUGUGUGAGAUAUGCUGCAGCCAAAGUGCUCCUUUUGAGUUAUCUUUUUUUCCCCCUAGCCCUGGCUCUUUUCCUUUGUUCCUUGCCUCUUCUCCCUCAUCCUCUGCCCCCUGUAUUUGUCUCUUAUUCCCUUCCCUGUGUCCCUCUGGAGCACAUACAUCUCCUUUGUGCUGAGAACCUGGUGUUGGGGGCCCUGGGCCAAUACAGAUCAGAUGGUACAGAGGAAGAGGCUGAACAGAGUCUAGAUUAUGCAAAGUCCAUGCCCCUUUGAGGAUUUGAGCUGUAUUCCGAGAGAAUACCACACCGCUAGGAGAAUUUUAUGUGGGAUACUAUGAUAGGAUUUGGUUGUUGAAAACAUGGCUACAAACAUGACCCAAUGGACUAAGGCUUGCCCCCGUUUGGGUGGAGAAACCACCCGAAGAAAAAAGGAUUUAUCCUUUUAAGGGAUGGCCCAAAGCACAUCUUUGCUCAUGGGUGAAGGAGCUCACUGGAGGUGAAUAUAAGAGACUUAAAACUGCCGAAGUGCAAGACAAAUGAGAGCAGGAGAGCCAGCAUCUGCCACUGAAGCAGCAGGAACCUGGCAGGGCUCUUAUUUCUGCAGGGAAGCAAAGACACCAACCCCUCGGAAGCAGUUGACUGUCGCUGUGAUAAAAUACGACUAGAAGCAUCUUAAGGAAGGAAGUUUAUCUGGGCGUAUGUUUCCAGAGGGGGCGCACACGAUGGUAGGGAACACACCGGCAGCCAGAAUAGGAAGCUGAGAGCCAGUGGCACACGGAGCAAAGAGACCAAACUGCGAGCGUGAUGACAUAGACGCUCUGGAAGCCAGCUCACAGCGAUGUACUUCCCCCAGCAAGGCUUCACCACUUGAAGGUCCGGGUAAUCUCUCCACGCAAUGCUACUAGAAGGGAAGCAAGUUCUCGGUUAUCAAACACGGAGCGUGUGGGAGGGCCCAUCACUCAUUCAAAGCACCGCACCCCCUGACUCUCAGACUAUGUGAAGGAACUGCAUCUCACCUGUGUUCUCUCUAGCUUGGAGCAGGAGCUUGCUUUAUGAGACAGGGUUAUCACCAAAAUAAGUCUUACUGCCCUGAUAACCAUCACAUUUAGAGAAUGGUAUACCAAUUCAUUUUACCCGAUGUCUUUCCUCAUCCCCUUAUUUCUGGGAACAGGUCUCGUGUAAUGACAAGGCUUCCCCAUUUUCCCUGAGUUGCCUCGGUCAGCGCAUUUCGCAUGCGCGCUUCAGGUCAGCAGAGUUGAAUCAUUACUUGCCUCCCGUGUCCCUAAGGUGAAAGGAUGGUCAUGAGCAUGACAUAUUGACCAGACCAUCUUCAGUAUUUCACUAGCAGCAUAACUUUGGGAAAUUUAUUUACACAACACAAAACUCAAUUUUCUCAUCUGCGAUGUGAACAAAAUAGAAAC